rnacentral:lncRNA from 1 species
AGAAUAGUUUCAUUAAGGCUUAAGUAGUUUAUGACUUAUUUUGGUUGUAUUGUAUUACUUCAUUAGUUUAUGGCUUAACUAGUUUAUGACUUAAGUAGCUUAUGACAAUGUUAAGUAUAUCAGUUAUGGUUAAUGUUAAUGUUCAUUUUCAUUUUGAGUUAUGACAAUGUUAAGUAUAUCAAUUAUGGUUAAUGUUAAUGUUCAUUUUCAUUUUGA